UAGUGGGCAAGUGUCUUUCCCUAAGAAAAAAAGAGGAAGGAGAGAAAGGAUAUUGAGUUGUAACUUGCAGUUUCUGGCAGAAUGGCCUACAAUUGACCAGUAUCUACUCUGUCCUGAGCACUGUGAUAGGCACUAGCAAUCCAUCUGAUGAGGUUACUCCUCCAGAACCCCAAAUGGAAAAGUGCUCACUAAUGACUCAGGAUGAGGACAUCAGAGUGACAGUGAUGAGAGUCUUCUGAGUUAAAGGCAGCAAGUCAGGGGUGUCUGACUGACCCCUCCUCAUGCUCUCACUGAAACACUACACACAAUAAAAGGCGAUAUGAAAGAUUUAA